rnacentral:lncRNA from 1 species
AUGAUCCCAAAUCCCUGCGGGAAUGAUCCCGGCGNAAAUCCCCCAAAUUCAGCCACUUUUCCUUGGGAAUCUGCUUGGGAUAAGGUUUUUUUUGGGGAAUUCUCGAUCCAGGAUGGGUCAGAGGGGUUAAACCUCGGGCUGGAGAUCAAAAAUCCAAGGAUUUGGGUGGGAUUGGGAUGGGAUUUGGGUGUCCCUGAGCCUCGGGAUCCUUUCCCAUCCUGGGAUUUAUCCCUGGAAUUGAGGAUUUAUCCCUGGAAUUGUGAAUUUAUCCCUGGAAUUGUGGAUUUAUCCCUGGAAUUUGGGGAUUUAUCCCUGGAAUUUGAGGAUUUAUCCCUGGAAUUGAGGAUUUAUCCGUGGAAUUUUGGAAUUUAUCCCUGGAAUUUGGGAUUUAUCCUUGGAAUUGUGGAUUUAUCCCUGGAAUUUGGGGAUUUAUCCCUGGAAUUUGGGGAUUUAUCCCUGGAAUUGGGGAUUUAUCCCUGGAAUUUGGGAUUUAUCCCUGGAAUUGUGGCUUUAUCCCUGGAAUUUUGGGAUUUAUCCCUGGAAUUGGGGAUUUAUCCCUGGAAUUGGGGAUUUAUCCCUGGAAUUUUAGGAUUUAUCCCUGGAAUUGGGGAUUUAUCCCUGGAAUUUGGGAUUUAUCCCUGGAAUUUGGGGAUUUAUCCCUGGAAUUUGGGGAUUUAUCCCUGGAAUUUGGGAUUUAUCCCUGGAAUUGGGGAUUUAUCCCUGGAAUUUGGGAUUUAUCCCUGGAAUUUUGGGAUUUAUCCCUGGAAUUUGGGGAUUUAUCCCUGGAAUUUGGGAUUUAUCCCUGGAAUUGUGGCUUUAUCCCUGGAAUUUGGGGAUUUAUCCCUGGAAUUGGGGAUUUAUCCCUGGAAUUUGGGAUUUAUCCCUGGAAUUGUGAAUUUAUCCCUGGAAUUUGGGGAUUUAUCCCUGGAAUUGUGGAUUUAUCCCUGGAAUUUGGGAUUUAUCCCUGGAAUUUUAGGAUUUAUCCCUGGAAUUGUGGAUUUAUCCCUGGAAUUUGGGAUUUAUCCCUGGAAUUGUGGAUUUAUCCCUGGAAUUUUGGGAUUUAUCCUUGGAAUUUGGGGAUUUAUCCCUGGAAUUUGGGGAUUUAUCCCUGGAAUUGUGGAUUUAUCCCUGGAAUUUGGGGAUUUAUCCCUGGAAUUUGGGAUUUAUCCCUGGAAUUUGGGGAUUUAUCCCUGGAAUUUGAGGAUUUAUCCCUGGAAUUGGGGAUUUAUCCCUGGAAUUGGGGAUUUAUCCCUGGAAUUUGGGGAUUUAUCCCUGGAAUUGGGGAUUUAUCCCUGGAAUUGGGGAUUUAUCCCUGGAAUUUGGGCUCUAUCCCUGUCCCUUUUCUGUGAAUUCCUCCCCAAAAUCCCACCUAAAUUCCCCCUUUUCCACUUUAAACCCAUUCCCUGA